rnacentral:rRNA from 1 species
AGUGAACGCUGGCGGUAGGCCUAACACAUGCAAGUCGAACGGCAGCACAGUAAGAGCUUGCUCUUACGGGUGGCGAGUGGCGGACGGGUGAGGAAUACAUCGGAAUCUACUUUUUCGUGGGGGAUAACGUAGGGAAACUUACGCUAAUACCGCAUACGACCUACGGGUGAAAGCAGGGGAUCUUCGGACCUUGCGCGAUUGAAUGAGCCGAUGUCGGAUUAGCUAGUUGGCGGGGUAAAGGCCCACCAAGGCGACGAUCCGUAGCUGGUCUGAGAGGAUGAUCAGCCACACUGGAACUGAGACACGGUCCAGACUCCUACGGGAGGCAGCAAUGGGGAAUUUUGGACAAUGGGCGCAAGCCUGAUCCAGCCAUACCGCGUGGGUGAAGAAGGCCUUCGGGUUGUAAAGCCCUUUUGUUGGGAAAGAAAAGCAGCAGGUUAAUACCCCGCUGUUCUGACGGUACCCAAAGAAUAAGCACCGGCUAACUUCGUG